AGCAUUCAGUGAAGAUGAUGCUGAAAUCUCAAGUAACAAAAGCAGGGGCUGUCAAGAAUUAAAGGCAGAUGAAAAUGGUAGUGUUUUGAUUAAAAAGAAGAAGAGCAGAUUGAAGAAACGGUGUCGUUAGACUAAAUGUACAGCUGUCAAUCAUUUGUUUGUGUUGAUGUAAAUAGCUUACACGUGUAGGACUCUGAUUAACUAGUUUGUUUUGAUGGUUAGUUAGUUAUUUUAUUUGCUCUGCUACGUGUAUAUAAAGAAGGGAACAACUUGUAUUUGCAGUGAGCUUCUAGAUAUUUCUCAGAUCAAUAAAUUCCCAUUUCUAUUUAGAAAAGCUCUCUCCUUUUUACAUGGUAUCAGAGCUUCCAAAGCUCAUCAAUGGCGUCCAACAUUGCUGCAGAUUCUGAAACACCACCAACAGAUCCUUUGUUUUCAACGAAUCCUUAAAUUGCUACAGAUCACAUAUCAAAUUCGACUCCUUCAAUGGAUGAUCAAAAUACCAAUCCUUCAAGCCCUUACUACCUUCCACCUUCUGACAAUUCUGUGGUUCUUGUUUCACAACCACUCACUGGUCCUGAGAAUUACCUGAGUUGGUCGAGAGCUGUGUUUCUCUCUUUGAGUGGUAGGAACAAAUUUGGCUUUCUCAAUGGCCAAAUCUCCAUGCCUGAUCCAUCUUCAUCUCUGUACAAUACUUGGUACAGAUCAAACACCACGAUUCUCUCUUGGCUAGUGAAUUCCUUGAGCAAAGAGCUUCAAUCUAGUGUGAUGUACAUUCACACUGCGAGGGAUUUAUGGAUCGACGUGCAUGACAGGUUCUCUCAGCCAAAUGCUCCAAGAUUCUUUGAAGUUCAGAAAGAAAUUUCGAAGCUUUCACAAGGUAAGAUCUCGGUGAGUUCUUAUUUUACAAGAUUCAAGAUUUUGUGGGAUGAACUUGUGAAUUAUCAAGCAUUUCCUACCUGCACUUGCACUUGCACUUGUGGUUCUAAAAAAUCUCAGUUAGAUGCAUAGAAAAAGGAUCAAGUUUUUCGUUUUCUCAUGGGGCUUAAUGAUAGCUAUGCUAAUGUUAGAAGUCAAAUUCUGAUAACUGAGCCUCUCCCUGGCAUCAACAAAGUUUACUCCUUGAUUUUGCAAGAAGAGAAACGUAGGCAGAUUGGACAAGCAGAUAUGGUUCUUGAACCAACUGCUUUGUAUGCUAAUAAUAGCUCAAACGCCAAGGGUUAUCAAGGACAAACCUAUCAUGGUGGGAAUCAGCAAGGGCAUCAAGGUAGUAAUCAUGGAGGAUAUGGUGGAAAAGGAGGGAAUUCAAAGAAAGAAAGACCUAUCUGUGCUUAUUAUGGAGUUGUUGGCCAUAUUGCAGAUAAAUGUUACAAGCUACAUGGUUAUCCCCCAGGUUAUAAGCCUAAAGGGAAAUCUUCUGCCAAUUAGGUUUCUAGUGCAGGAAAUUUUGGAAAUUUCUCUCCUAAUCUUGGUAGUUUUGGGAAUUUUGCUUCUCAGCCAUUAUCUGGUUUUCCUAAUCAAGUUAAGAUGAUGAAUUGUUCACCACAGAUGAUGGGUUACUCACCACAGCAUUCUGGUACACAACCACAAUCUCAAUUCAAUGUGCCUCAAUGUCCAAUCACUUAAUCUCAGUGUGAGCAAUUGCUGUCCUUCCUUGCUUCUCAGUCUCUUAAGGAAGCUUCUAAUCAUCAAGUUGCUCCUACUCAUCAAGCAGCUUCAGUCCUAUCACCACUUGCAAAUGUUGCUGCCAGUUCUAGUGCUUCUUUGCCACCUCAUUUCAUUAAUAACUUCUUAGGACCUAGUUCAUUGGAACAUGAUUGGACUGGGUAAAGCAACAAGAGGCCUAUAUCUGCUGCAACACAAUUCUUUUCCAUCAUCAUUUGUGCUUGCUGUUAGCUCACCUGCUCCUUCUCAAACUUCUGCUGCAAAUUUUACUACUGUAACUUCUGACUUGUGGCAUUUUCGUUUAGGACAUCCUUCUCAUGCCAAGUUGUCUUUGUUAAAUAAAACUGUAUCUGGUUUGACAGUAAAUAAGUCACAUUGUUGUGACAUUUGUCAUCUUGCUAAACAAAAGAGAUUGUCUUUUCCUUCUAGUACUCAUGUUUCAAAUGCUAUCUUUGAUUUGAUUCAUUGUGAUCUCUG